rnacentral:lncRNA from 1 species
GUUCCCACUUUAUUAGUGAUUAGGGACUUGCCCAUUUAAUGUAAAAAUCUAGACCAGGAUGUCACGGUAAGGGUGGGGCUCCCUCCCUUAUUCUGGAAAGUAAUACAUAUAAAUCUUAGCAUAACGCAAUUUUCUAAACCAUGUCAAAAACUAUUUUAUAUAGAGCAUUGUUUGUCUUCGCAUAAAGCGAUUCACCAUGU